rnacentral:lncRNA from 1 species
CCUCUACCCGGCCGGGCAGACCCACAACCGGCCAGCCCUAGUGCAGCCUCGACCUCAGCCCACUGCCCCGCGCGGCUCCUCACCUCAGCCAGCUUGCUGCCCCACACAGCCUGCAACAUACGAGCCUGCGCAGAUCCCGCCCCUGCGCGCACCCUUUCCCUCACCGACCCCGCCUUCCCAGCCUCGCCCCCUGCAACAGACCACCGAUCUGCAGAUCACAGCGAUCCAGUCGCAGCGGCCGGCCUCGCCUCCCUGCAGCCCAGCCACAUCCGGCCUCGCAUCCCAGCAGCCUAGCUGUGCUCGACCUGGCGCACGCUUCCACGCCUGCAUAAACAACCCAUCUGCAAACCACCCCACCUGCAAACCGGAGAAAGAAGACGCG